rnacentral:snRNA from 1 species
AGGUGAGAGGGCGAUCUGGCUGCGACAUCUGUCACGCCAUUGAUCACAGGGGUUGAUUUGGCUGAUCUGACUUGCUAGGUGAAUGCCCCCUUCCUCCCUCACUGCUCCUGAAGUGUGUCUCUCCUGAAGCUGCACAAUUUGGGCGAAGAGGAUGGCCUUCCCAGAAUAGAGAAGGACUAGUCUUUAGUCAAGGGUAUAGGAGUAAGUGUGCUCGCCUUGUUAGUACCUCCAAACAAGCUCUCAAAAAAGAGUUUAUAAAUGAAAAUAAAAUAUUCUAAGGCUUAAAGAGGAGGCCUAGUUG